rnacentral:lncRNA from 1 species
UGUUGUCACUCAAUACACUAUAACAAAAACAUUCAACUGUCCAACAUAAGUGCUACAAAGUUAUGCUGUUAGUGUGACAAUUUUGGUUGAUUGCUUUCUUGCUACUUUAUGAAAUCUAAUUGGAUGCGUGUGUGUAAAUGCUUUUCUUCUAGGAGACCUUGGCUGGUAAUAUGUGGAGUGUCUGAUGGUUAGAUGGGUUACCUGGCAAUCCACUGACUCAAAAGAAAAAUCAUUAACUCAAAAUUCAAAGCUAAUGUUAAAAGAAGGAACAGUAAAAGUGGUCUGACUGUGCUUUGUGGACCACUGAGUCAGUGGGCUAGGGGGUGAUUCAUUGUUUAACGCUUCACAUAUGUUAGCUUGUUUUUCUUGUUGUAGAUAGGUCACGCUAGCAAGUAAAGACAGCUUCAGAAAAUUUCCGGGCAUAAUCCCCAAAUCCUGUCUGGGCUUGCAUGAGUAAAUGCUUGUCUGUGUAGAAAGAGCAAAUGAGUUUGGAAGGUGACGGGUCCCACUGUGACUCACAGGGGGCUUGGGGAAAGGCACUGGGGACAGCUCUUGCUGAGGGUGCUGUGUGAUUUCCACAACAGAUCCCUUUUGUUUCUGGUUGUUUCAUACCCUAUGGGCCUCUUCAGUUAGAGCUUUCAACAUCCUCAAAGGCAUCUAAUUGUUCAGGACAUACUGAGUAUCUGCACUUACAGAAAUCAAGCCUCAAGUGGAACUCCCCUGAAAGCAAGGCACCAGGAAGCCAAGAUUAGUUUUCAGAAAGUAAGUGGUUUUCAUUUUUCGGUUUCUCAAGGACUCUUUCAAGGGCCAAGCAGAUGGCUGGGAGAUCCACAGAAUGGAAACCUGCAGUUCUAAUGGGGACAGAAAAGUGUGUGUAGAGGGGGUUGUUUGUUUGCAGUUUUUUUAGUUAAAUCAUCUCUGUGUUUGAUAGCUAUUUACGCUCUUUUGCAGCUAAAAUGGUAGUGCAUUUUUGUGGACUCUUCCUUUUCAACAAAGGACUGAGGAAAUUGCCACACUAAUUCUCUGAGCUUCCUAGCAGCUCUCAAGCAUAACCAGAAGAGCAAUUCCCAACUUUAAAAUACAAAGGGAAACAAAAGAAUAAAAGCACGCAGAGAUCAGUUCA